rnacentral:rRNA from 1 species
AUUGAACGCUGGCGGCAUGCCUUACACAUGCAAGUCGAACGGCAGCACGGGUGCUUGCACCUGGUGGCGAGUGGCGAACGGGUGAGUAAUACAUCGGAACAUGUCCUUUAGUGGGGGAUAGCCCGGCGAAAGCCGGAUUAAUACCGCAUACGAUCUACGGAUGAAAGCGGGGGACCUUCGGGCCUCGCGCGAUAGGGUUGGCCGAUGGCUGAUUAGCUAGUUGGUGGGGUAAAGGCCUACCAAGGCGACGAUCAGUAGCUGGUCUGAGAGGACGACCAGCCACACUGGGACUGAGACACGGCCCAGACUCCUACGGGAGGCAGCAGUGGGGAAUUUUGGACAAUGGGCGAAAGCCUGAUCCAGCAAGGCCGCGUGUGUGAAGAAGGCCUUCGGGUUGUAAAGCACUUUUGUCCGGAAAGAAAUCCUUGGCCCUAAUACGGUCGGGGGAUGACGGUACCGGAAGAAUAAGCACCGGCUAACUACGUG